GUAGAGCACUGUUUCGGCUAGGGGGCCAUCCCGGCUUACCAACCCGAUGCAAACUGCGAAUACCGGAGAAUGUUAUCACGGGAGACACACGGCGGGUGCUAACGUCCGUCGUGAAGAGGGAAACAACCCAGACCGCCAGCUAAGGUCCCAAAGUCAUGGUUAAGUGGGAAACGAUGUGGGAAGGCCCAGACAGCCAGGAUGUUGGCUUAGAAGCAGCCAUCAUUUAAAGAAAGCGUAAUAGCUCACUGGUCGAGUCGGCCUGCGCGGAAGAUGUAACGGGGCUAAACCAU
rnacentral:rRNA from 5 species